CAGGCCUAACACAUGCAAGUCGAACGAGUGCCUUCGGGUGCUAGUGGCGCACGGGUGCGUAACGCGUGGGAACCUGCCCUGUGGUACGGAAUAACUCCGGGAAACUGGAGCUAAUACCGUAUGUGUCCCCCGGGACAAAGAUUCAUCGCCACGGGAUGGGCCCGCGUAGGAUUAGCUUGUUGGUGGGGUAACGGCCUACCAAGGCUACGAUCCUUAGCUGGUCUGAGAGGAUGAUCAGCCACACUGGGACUGAGACACGGCCCAGACUCCUACGGGAGGCAGCAGUGGGGAAUAUUGGACAAUGGGCGCAAGCCUGAUCCAGCAAUGCCGCGUGAGUGAUGAAGGCCUUCGGGUUGUAAAGCUCUUUCGCACGCGACGAUGAUGACGGUAGCGUGAGAAGAAGCCCCGGCUAACUUCGUGCCAGCAGCCGCGGUAAU
rnacentral:rRNA from 1 species